UACGGAGGAUCCAAGCGUUAUCCGGAAUCAUUGGGUUUAAAGGGUCCGUAGGCGGUUUGGUAAGUCAGUGGUGAAAUCCCUUCGCUCAACGGAGGAACGGCCAUUGAUACUGCCAGACUUGAAUUACUGGGAAGUAACUAGAAUAUGUAGUGUAGCGGUGAAAUGCUUAGAUAUUACAUGGAAUACCAAUUGCGAAGGCAGGUUACUACCAGUGGAUUGACGCUGAUGGACGAAAGCGUGGGGAGCGAACAGG
rnacentral:rRNA from 1 species